GGCAAAAGCAAGUAAAAGGAAGUGUGUAUCCGCUUAGCUACUACAGGUGCACACAUCCAAAUUGUUUAGUGACAAAGAAGGUUGUAAGAUCAUUGGAUGGGUAUAUUGCAGAAAUUGUCUACGGGGGUGAACACAACCAUCCAAUGUUAGGAGUUCUUGGUCCAGUCAAUUUCUGUUAAAAUAAAGUCCUAUUCUUCAGGAAGUCCUAUUCUUUUGGGACUGUUAGGAUUUAUCUGCUGUUAUUUUUUUUUUUCAACAAUUUUACGUUAUUUGUGUUUAUCUAUCUUUUGUAAGGCUAUAUAUUGUCAUGUCUAAUUUCAAUAAGAUUAUCACUUUGAAAUCCAAUUGUUUAUGUUUCUGGUUUAGUUAUUUUACUGUAAGACUCUACAAUUGGUAUCAGAGCCCCCACUGGGUUUUGAAAAAAAGGGAAGUAGCAAGCUUCGAGUGAUCAAACACAGAGAGUAUGAGUGAAGAUAAAACUCUAACAAAAAUUCCUCACUUCGACGGUCACUAUGAUCAUUGGAGUGAACUGAUGGAAAAUUUGCUUAGAGCAAAGGGUCUGUGGAGUUUAGUGGAAAUUGGUUUUACAGAACCAAUAGAAGGAACGAUACUAACUGAGGCACAACGGGAGCAGUUCGAUGAUGCUAGACUCAAAGAUCACCAAGUCAAGCAUUACCUCUUUCAAGCGAUUGAUCGAACUGUCUUUGAGCAAAUCUUGGACCGUCGCACAGCCAAGAGUGUUUGGGACUCACUGAAACGGAAGUUUGGUGGGAAUCUAAAGGUGAAGAAAUCUCUUCUUAAUGCACUAAGGAGAGAGUUUGAGGUUCUAGAGAUGAAGAAGGAUGAAACCAUCACUGAUUACUUUGCAAGAGUAAUGAUGGUCUCCAAUAAGAUGAGGAGCAAUGGAGAAGAAAUGUCAGACAAGAAAAUUGUAGAGAAAAUCCUACGUACUCUAACUGACAAAUUUACAUAUGUUGUAGUGUCCAUCGAAGAAUCAAAGGAUACUGAUACUAUGUGCAUUGAUGAGUUACAGAGUUCGUUAGUGGUGCAUGAAGAGAAAUUUCGACGUCCUAGCAACAAUGAUGAGGAUCAAGUGCUGAAUGUUGUAGGUCGAUCAAGUACAAAUAAGAGAGGAAGAGGAACUUACAGAGGAAGAGGGCGUGGAAGAGGGAGAACAAAUUUCAACAAAGCAAGUGUUGAAUGUUAUAAGUGUCACGACUUAGGACAUUUUCAGUAUGAAUGUCCAAAGUGGAAAAAUGAAGCAAAUUAUGCCGAGCUCGACGAAGAAGAUGAGUUGCUGCUAAUGGCCUAUGUAGAACUCCAUGAAGCAAAAAGAAGUGACACAUGGUUCUUAGACUCGGGUUGCUCAAAUCACAUGUGUGGUAAUAAAAGUAUGUUUUCAAGCUUAGACACAACUUUCACUCAUAGUGUCAAACUUGGAAAUAAUACAAGAAUGAAAGUGUCUGGAAAAGGUACUGUGAAAUUGAUUUUACAGGGAAAUUGUUAAACCAUUGGAGAAGUAUAUUGGGCACCUGAACUCAAAAAUAAUCAUUUGAGUGUUGGACAAACUUCAAGAAAAGGGAGUAGCAGUG
rnacentral:misc_RNA from 1 species